UGCAGUCGAGUGCGCGUGCCGUAGCAAUACGGUAUGGCGCACGGCGCACGGGUGCGUAACACGUGGGCAAUCUGCCCUCCGGUGGGGAAUAACCCCGCGAAAGCGGGGCUAAUACCGCAUAACAUUCCUUGGACGAUGGUCCGGGGAUUCAAAACCGUAAGGUGCCGAAGGAGGAGCCCGCGCCCGAUUACUAGUUGGUGAGGUAACGGCUCACCAAGGCAAUGAUCGGUAGCUGGUCUGAGAGGAUGGCCAGCCACACUGGAACUGAACACGGUCCAGACUCCUACGGGAGGCACAGUGGGGAAUCUUGCGCAAUGGCGAAAGCCGACGCAGCACGCCGCGUGGGGGAUGAAAUCUCGGUGUGUAAACCUUUCAAUGGACAAUGCUCAAGAGUGACGGUACCGUAGAAAAGCCCGCUAAUACGGCCACACCGCUAGACGUAGGGCCAGCGUGUUCAGAUUUGGGUGUAAGGUCGUAAGCGGUGUGAGGGUGAAAUUCUGGGCUUAAUCGGAUGCUUC
rnacentral:rRNA from 1 species